GAUGUAAAUGGCAUCGCUCAGUUUUUCUUGGACACAUAUACGUUUACAUACCCAAAUAUCACUUUGAAAGCAGCCUACAAGGCCAAUGAAAAUUGCCAGGCUCAUGGCUGGGUGUUGCCUCAAUACCCUCAGCCCGAGUACUUUGCAUAUCGAUUUUACUCCAAGACGAAUAGCUUCCUAAAGAUUGUCCAAGAGAUGGAAGAACUGAGAUGCAACCAGCAGAAGAGGGUGCUAGUGCACUGCAUUCUCAAUAUGGAAGACUUUGAAGACAAAACCUACACAGCAGACUUCAAUUAUUUGGUGCUGUAUUAGCAAUUGUCACAAUAGAAGAAAUAGAAAAAGUAUAACUGGGGACAAAACAUAUAUUAGAAUUACGUGAUUUCAAAAGGUGUAAUCAUUCUUCAUGGGCAACAGAAAAUUGAGAUCAACGAAAAUGGGAGGAAGGGCAUAUUUUCCAUUUCUAUAGACAUUAACCCUGAAUUAGCGCCCUCAGUAGAUAUGCUUGUCUAUAGCUUGCAUCCUGGAGGAGAAAUGGUCACUGAUAGCACCCAAUUCCGAA
rnacentral:lncRNA from 1 species